ACAGAGAGCUUGCUCUCGGGUGACGAGUGGCGGACGGGUGAGUAAUGUCUGGGAAACUGCCUGAUGGAGGGGGAUAACUACUGGAAACGGUAGCUAAUACCGCAUAACGUCGCAAGACCAAAGAGGGGGACCUUCGGGCCUCUUGCCAUCAGAUGUGCCCAGAUGGGAUUAGCUAGUAGGUGGGGUAACGGCUCACCUAGGCGACGAUCCCUAGCUGGUCUGAGAGGAUGACCAGCCACACUGGAACUGAGACACGGUCCAGACUCCUACGGGAGGCAGCAGUGGGGAAUAUUGCACAAUGGGCGCAAGCCUGAUGCAGCCAUGCCGCGUGUAUGAAGAAGGCCUUCGGGUUGUAAAGUACUUUCAGCGGGGAGGAAGGUGUUGCGGUUAAUAACCGCAGCAAUUGACGUUACCCGCAGAAGAAGCACCGGCUAACUCCGUGCCAGCAGCCGCGGUAAUACGGAGGGUGCAAGCGUUAAUCGGAAUUACUGGGCGUAAAGCGCACGCAGGCGGUCUGUCAAGUCGGAUGUGAAAUCCCCGGGCUCAACCUGGGAACUGCAUUCGAAACUGGCAGGCUAGAGUCUUGUAGAGGGGGGUAGAAUUCCAGGUGUAGCGGUGAAAUGCGUAGAGAUCUGGAGGAAUACCGGUGGCGAAGGCGGCCCCCUGGACAAAGACUGACGCUCAGGUGCGAAAGCGUGGG
rnacentral:rRNA from 1 species